rnacentral:misc_RNA from 1 species
GGUGCAGCUCUACGUCUAUUGCAGGCAUGCAUGUUGAGACUUGAAGCUCUUCAUUUAGCAAAUGAGGGCGUACAGAUCGACCCUGAAACUCAAAUGCGUUCUGGAUUCAAGUUUUUCUCAUGGCUGUGAGGUACUAAUAUGAUUGCAGGGAAGCUGUUGAGGCUGGUAGAGAAUUUCGUGGCACGGGACAAGCAUAAGUUAGAAAGCACAUCAAUUCUGUAGAAAGAACAUUUUGAUGUUUUGCCUGCCCUCUUGUUGCAUCUUCAGCAAUU